rnacentral:lncRNA from 1 species
CUGGAUGAUUGCAGCAGCAACAAAGGGGUGAUUGCAGCCUGCUACCUAAAACCAGCCGGAUUUCCCUAUGACCAGAGCUGCAGGUGGCCACUGUCUCAAGUGAUGGUUUUGCAAUGYGGCUGGAGCCAAAUUAAGAUUUUGCUGCUAAAAGGGUACUGCUGGGGGAGACCUAGCCUCGAAGAAGCUCCACUGCCUGUCAGCGGAGCCAAGAUGCUGAGCACAUCUGCCCUUGCUAGCACAGAGCAAAUGACUCCGCUCACAUUCAGCAGUUCAUCAGAGUGCAGCGACUCAGUCCUGUGGCCAAGUGUGACAGCAUGUGUGCACCACGUGGGGACGUGCAGCAGGAAAAUGUAAUGCCAGGGAAAAUAAGGAAAAGCAGCUUCCCUCAGUCGUCUGGAGACGCCCCAUGCCCUGCUCUCUGUUCCGCUGCACUCCCAGCCCCAGGGCCUGAGAUAGUCUGGUGUCUCCUGGCGAGAGCAUCCAUCAGAGCUGGACUACCACAGUGAGAGAGAUCCUGGCUAUGGCUGCAGCUCAGUCCUCCCAUCUCCGCUUUGUCCUCCAGCUGCUCAGAGGAGACCCGGUUCAGGCCAUAAGGAAAAGGUUAAUCUCCCCUGCACACGCUGGAGGGACAGGACCKCUUGCUGCUGGACCGCCGUGGUGGUACCCAGAGGCACCCUCCUGUACGCUGACCCUCGCUGCUGUGAUGCGUUUUGAGAGAUGCUACAAAUCUGCACUGCACAAAUGUCCUGCUGCUCUUGGAGUGAGUUUGUACCUGUGCGUUAAAGAAGGGGGGACGGUCCCUGCUGAGCUGCUACCUUGAGCGUGCUCUGGCCCUGCGCAGCCUGUGCCCAGACCUGCAAAGGAUACGGAGGGGAUGGGAGCUGCAGUGCUCUGGAGCCAUCCCAUGCUGUGCCUGGCCCCGAGCUGAACAGCGCUGCUCUCCCGCAGCACUCCCUGGGGAAUAAUCCGGCAUGCAGCCUGCUGGCUCUGSCCUUGGCUCUGCUUGGGCCACAGACUGAGAACAGGGAGGAGACAGGGAUAGGGAGGGAAUUGCACCCUUUUUCAAGUACCUAUUCUCUGCCAGGGUGAGUUAAAGUGGCUUUUGUGGAGCUGAGAACAAAGGCUGCUAUAUUUCUGCAAACUUUGUUGGGCUGGACCUGCCCCAUGGUUUGUCACCUCUCCCGCAGGACAGUCUGUAAACAGAGACAACCAUACAGUAGGCCCCUGUUACACAGACUUUUUAUACAUAUUCUUCUGUGGUUUUGGCCUCUAAACAGGGCCAUAUUUUAAUCUCUUAAACAGACUUCAUCUCCCAUUAUUCCUUCCCCAAAUAUUUUAUGUGCAACUGGAGGCCUGGGAGCAGGCCAGCACCAGAGGCGCCCAGCCAAGGCGAGCGGAGGGGCUGGAUGGUGGCAAGGCAGAGGGAGGUGCAGCCCGACCCUUUCAGCCUCCUGUUUGCUUUGGUAGCUGCCCCUAUUUACCUCAAGCACCUCAAUAAAACCCAUGUUUGUUAAAGAUUAAAUGCUGUC